AGUCGUAACAAGGUAUCCGUAGGUGAACCUGCGGAUGGAUCAUUACCAAAGGAUUAAACCUCCUACACGCACUGUGAACUGUUUUGACUGUAACGGUCAGCGGGCCUUGAGCCGCUUCGGCGCGACCUCAGCCGCUGACUGUACCCUAUAAAAAAAUACACACGUAUAUAUGUUUCCACCUUAGACUGAAUUACUACCUUUAGUGUGUAAUAUUUAUAAACAACAAACUAAAGACAACUUUUAGCAAUGGAUCUCUUGGUUCUC
rnacentral:misc_RNA from 1 species